AAUUUUCCACACAUAUAGAGAACAAACUCUUAGUUAAAUACACAUUAUUAUUCUAGUAAUAUAUUACUGAUAUUUGGGGCAAAAGCAAUGCAAACUCAUCUGAAAGGCAGUAAUGCCUUUAAGUAAUGCUUCUCAGUAAUGUAAAGGAACAAAAUGAUAUGGAGGUUCUAACUGAUCUUUAAAAUAUGACUAGAAUAAUAAGCAGAAGCCAAAUGAUAUUCUUUUAUAAUGUAGACAUACAGAUUAUGUCUCUCCCAACUCAUCUCCCAAAUUACUGUGCUCAACAAAGGCCCUUCAUAUUAUCAACUUUAGAAUUAUUUCAAUUUUCCACUUAAGCUCCCAAAGCACCUUCCAAAUAAUACACAUCCUAAUAAAGAUUUAGAUUUUAGAGCCUGAGAUGGAGAGGAACAGUGAUGCUUGUCAUGAGCUUCCCCAAUCACUCGCAGGUCAUCAAUAGGACACUUACUAAGCUGUAAAUGCUUCUAAGAGACAGUAAAGCCACAGAGUAGGAUUUGGUCUCUAUCAGUAUUCUCCAGACAAGAUUCUACUUCAAUUCACUUAGGAGUCUUGAACAUGUUUGAGAGUUCACUGCCAUCUCAGCUGAUCUAUUAUCUGCACAUCCCUGGCCAUGAAUGUUACUCCAGUGCAAAUGACACUAUUCUUGGGAACGUAGAGACUACCAAAUUACCACCUUCACACUAAACUCUAAUUACUCCACAAUCUCUUGUCAUAUGGAUUUU
rnacentral:lncRNA from 1 species